UGCGUGCAUGGCGUGAGUGUUGCAGGUUCAUGGUUGGCAACGACAAUGGCUAAAGCUCGCGGUUCAUGAAUAACAGCCGCGCUGCCCAGCGCACCCCUCGCCGCCGGCGCUCGCGCAUGUGACCCGCCUCGCCACGUCAGAGCAACCACGCACGUCGCACACCUCGCCGCCGCACCCGGGCAAGUCGCCGCCGGUGGCCGUUGGUCGGUCCGCUCGGUCCGGCCCGGGCUUCGUCGUCGCCGGUCCGGUCCCCAAAAUCAGGACCGUGAUGCAGCUCGGUCCGGUCCGGCCCGGACCGCCGGCGGCCAGUCCAAACGACGUCUCGGACCAGGACCGGACCGGCCCGGACCGUGUCCACCCGAGUCGUGCCAUUGAAGUGCACAUGUUUGUGAGCCAGUACAUAUGGCUCCAGUUUGUCCGUGAACGCGAUGAGAGCUACAAGGAGAAAAGAACAAGGAUUUUAAAGUGGAGCAAGGAUUGUAAGUCAGUGUCUUCCCUUCUCUGUCAUUUGAUCAGGUGUUUCAGAGUGCCCCAACAAUUGUCCCCUUGUGCAGAGUGUAGCCGUGCGGCGUAUAAACCCUGUGAUCGAGAGGCAUGCAAUCAAGCUUUAUACUCGAGACAUGUUCUAGCAGUUUGGUCAGUUCCUUAUUGAGUGAACUGCAUAUAAUGUGACUGAGAUUGACAAGUGUAAGAAGUAUCUGACGACAUAUAACCAUGCGACCAACCGGGAGAAGUGGAGUAGCGUAGUCUACGAGGUGAGAAUAAAAGAUGACGGCGCUGAUUAUGAGUGCGAGUGCGGACAAUUUGAACACAUGGGAAUACUUUUGCUGCCAUGUGCUCAGAUGAUGGACAUAUUGAAUUUGGCUGAAAUACCGGAGAAGCAAAUUGUUAAGUGUUGGAAAAAAUACGCGGGGUAUAUACUACCCAGACAUCUGGUCCACUACUAGAAGAAUGAAGCAGUGAACCAUUCAUUCACUUGCAGGCACUCCACAGUGACCUACAAGGGAUGGAUAUUGUUAGAAUGAGUGAUGAGAUUGCUGAAGAGUUUGAUUGCAUGUCGAGGAAAUGAAAGCAGCAACGCUGAGUUGUGCUCCUUUGGCUGAGAAGAGGGAUGAGCCCGAUUUUGAAGACCAGCAGGCAACAUAAUCUGCUUGAAGGAAUGCCGGUAAUGGCUAGGUUGCCGCAAUAGGAGAUGGUCCUCCUACUGAAAAGCAUAGUUUGGGAUUCUCCGGUGGUGUGAAUGCACGGCAGGGACUAGCGCCGACAGCAAAAGCAGAGGGGAGCUGGUAGGCUGACAAACAGCUGUUACAAGGCUCCUUGCGAGGGUUUGAGCGAGUGGGCGGGAUUCUGCAGGAUCUGCCGAAGGCAAGGGAACAAGAGAACAACUUGCCUUGAACGCGGGGAUGUCCUGAAGCAGCCUCGCAAACCCGGGAAGAAAGGGAAGAAGGGGCUAGUCAGGCUUGCACGGCUCAGUCCGGCUCAAAUCUUUUCCUGGACGGUGCCAAAACUACUGAGCCGCUGAACCCAUUUGCUGUCCUCCCAUUCAUAAAGACUACAUGCCCCGCUCUAUUUUCUUUUUAGAAUACAAGCUACAUUCACACCAGAAUACUACUAAAGGCCCAAAUCCCCAUGCACAUGAAGGGUGAUGAUAUGAGGUGCAUCUGAGCCUGCGCUCAGAAUUAAGUUUUCGCAUGUGAUGCUGCUUUUGUGGUUGCGGUUUAUUUUGUUAUCGUGAUGAUAGUGGAGUCCGGUCCUAUGCGGCUCUUUGGAAAAAGAAUGAACUCCAAUUGAAUGAUCUGCCAUGUUGCCGAAUUCCCUGAUCUGAUGGAGGUAGACCGGUAACGCUUUCAUGUUGGUGGUAGUGCUUUUGUUGUUGGUUCGUGAAUCGCUAGCGAUGGUGAUAUGAUUGUGCUUAGCGAAUGGCCGGUGAAGUUUUCUCCUUCCAUUUUAAGGAUGGCAGGUCACUCGUUUAUUGCUGAUCAUACUUUUGAGUUUUGAUUGA